AAACUCUCAAACCACAUCAUUCGUUUGACGUGGCUUUGGACGUGGGGGUUUGCCGGGCUCUUCUUCUCAGCUCCCCUGAAAUGCAUUAGUGGUAUCUGGAGCGGAAAACCGCUAGGUGUGAUAAAUACUGUCUAUGCCUUUGGUUAUGCCGUGUGUGCUGCUUCCCAACGCAACAUUUAUUUGACAA
rnacentral:misc_RNA from 1 species